rnacentral:tmRNA from 1 species
GGGGUAGUAAAGGUUUCGACGGGGUAAUUGAAGUUGGAGAAGCUAUCCGCAGGCAUGCGUUAAUUCCAAAAUUAAAAAUAAACGCUGAAGAUAAUUUAGCAUACGCUGCCUAAUGGCAGCUGUCAGCCUUAGUGCACCUACACAUUAAGAAUCUGGCAUCGACCAUGUAGGAAACGACAUAUAUUAAGCUUUGCGUAUAUGGGCGUAUUAUGAAGCUACUAAAGUCAGAAGAAUGUUCAUUUUCGUCUGAUGGAGGGAAUGUCAAAUAAUGAAAUAUGAUAGUAGAAGUACAAUGAAUGUUAUUUCGGACACGGGUUCGAUUCCCGUCUACUCCAU